AGUGUCGAUGAGUACGUCGCGGAGCACGCGGACAUCGAUGUUGCGAAUGAAGCGCAGCCGGCGGACGUCCGUGACAGCAGUAGCAGCAGUAGUACUAGUGGCACGGAGAGCGACGAUGAUGAACAGGCGUCCGAGAGGUCGCAUGUCCACAUCCAGGAGCAGCUUGCCGCAGGAGACGAUGGGAGCGAAGGGCAAUGGAAGAUGGAAGAAAACCAGCCCUUGCAAGACUCGUUCACUGCCCAGCCCGGUAUCAAGGUGCCAGUGCCAGAAAAUGCUGAGCCAUAUCAUUAUUUUUGCCUGUUUUUUACUUUACAAUUUUGGCAAUUGCUCUGCACUGAGACCAAUCGAUUUGCCCAGCAAUAUCUAAAUGCACACC